CGUCCUCGGCCGUGUUCGAUAGCGGAUUCUUACAUUUGCCCUGACCCUAAUUAACGACCCCGGGCUCGUUACUCCUUGUUGGUGUGCAUGUCCGCCCCGGUUGCGGAAAGCCCGAUGCGAGGUUCGCUGGCCCACCUGAUCCUUGGGAUCAAGGUCGUUUGGUCCGCAACGGCACGGCGGAGGACUC
rnacentral:other from 12 species